rnacentral:misc_RNA from 1 species
AAGACUAUAGACCUGCGGAGUACCUGCGGAGGGAUCGUUCACAAUAAGUGUUUUAUGGCACUUUAAUUCCAUAUCCACCUUGUGUGCAACGUAGUUCGUUUUUCGAACAAAACAUCAACAUUUUAAUUAUCAACAGAUCGUCUGAAGUAUUAUAUGAAUAAAUCAAUUCAAAAUACAACUUUCAACAACGGAUCUCU